rnacentral:rRNA from 1 species
CGGACGGCUGAGUGACGCGUAGGUGACCUGCCCCGAAGUGGGGAAUAACUGCCCGAAAGGGUGGCUAAUACCGCAUGUGGUGGUUCGUUCAGUCGAUCCACCAAAGCCGCAAGGCGCUUCGGGAGGGGCCUGCGUCCGAUUAGCUCGUUGGUGGGGUAACGGCUCACCAAGGCGACGAUCGGUAGGUGGUCUGAGAGGACGAUCACCCAGACUGGGACUGAGACACGGCCCAG